UACGUAGGGCGCAAGCGUUGUCCGGAAUUAUUGGGCGUAAAGAGCUCGUAGGCGGCUCAGUAAGUCGGGUGUGAAACCCCCAGGCUCAACCUGGGGACGCCACCCGAUACUGCUGUGGCUAGAGUCCAGUAGGGGAGUGUGGAAUUCCCGGUGUAGCGGUGAAAUGCGCAGAUAUCGGGAGGAACACCGGUGGCGAAGGCGGCGACCUGGGUCGAGACUGACGCUGAGGCGCGAAAGCGUGGGGAGCAACAGG
rnacentral:rRNA from 1 species